rnacentral:lncRNA from 1 species
CCUUUCCAACCCUCGCUUUCUGGUCCUCACGCGCCCUUGUCACGGAGUAGGUGCGCGGUGGAUAUUUUUUGGAGAAAUGACUACUUGAAACUCGGAAGGGUUUCUAGGCGUCCAGCUGUCCGCGAGAGUCGACGGCCCUCUUGUGUCCAUAGGCAUUUUAACGGACGUGAAGCACGCUGAAGCCAUGCGUCUGCAGUCAGGUUUAGUGUGGGGGACCUUGGACAGGUCACUUCGGUGAACUUCAUGUGGGUUGUACCUGUGUUGCAGAAUUCUGUGAAGAUCGAAGGAUGAAAUGUUUGCAUGUUUGCAAAAGCUCCCACGUCUGUAGAACAUCUCCGUGUUUGGAGGGCUGGUGGUUUGAACAGUUGCAAAGCUGUUCUCUGCAAGAGGAGCGCUCAGGAGGCUGAGGCAGGGGGAUCUCUGUGAGCGUCUCUCCUCUCCCUGUGGCCCAGCAGUUUCUGAUACAGAGGAGAUGCACUGUCAUUUGGGGGAAAGCGUCUUGUUGCACUUGGUUCUUAACUUGUGGCUCACAACCCUGUGCCCAUCACUCCGUGAACUCUGACCUGCACUCUGCUCUGCAAGAGGAUGAAACUCAGCAGGUGGAGACGUUCUGUCAUUAAGGUAAACAAAACAGUGUGAUUUAAGUUCCUAAAACUGACAUCUGAC